CAGUCGCCGCGGGAAUACGAAGGGGGCUAGCGUUGCUCGGAAUUACUGGGCGUAAAGGGAGCGUAGGCGGAUCGUUUAGUCAGGGGUGAAAUCCCGGGGCUCAACCUCGGAACUGCCUUUGAUACUGGCGAUCUUGAGUAUGGGAGAGGUGUGUGGAACUCCGAGUGUAGAGGUGAAAUUCGUAGAUAUUCGGAAGAACACCAGUGGCGAAGGCGACACACUGGCCCAUUACUGACGCUGAGGCUCGAAAGCGUGGGGAGCAAACAGGAUUAGAUACCCCCGUAGUCCCUGUCUCUUAUAC
rnacentral:rRNA from 1 species